AUGGCAGUGACGAUUUGCAAAUAUUCAAGCUCAACAGACCUAAUCAAAGAUUUUCUCUCCGGAGUUGAUUUGUAUGCCGAUUACCCCGCUGAACCGAGCCAUCUGAUACCUGAUUUUGUUUUUCUGUGGUUCAUUGUUCUUUUCUCUCAAUUCUCAAUGUAUCUUUUGUGUUUGAUUUUGUUUGUUUCUUUUGGGGGAUGUAGUUGCGAUGAGGAUAAUAAGCUCCCUCUUCUGAAAGCAUUGACGACAUCGCUGGCAGAAUCGAACCAAUUAAAUAUUGCCACCACUGAGCAACUCUGUAUCGUCGAACAAUCUCUCUUGGAUGUUAUUGAUCGUUUGCUUCUUCUUACCUUCCAGUUACAUUAUCUGUUUGGAUUGUUAGGAGUUAUUGAUGCAUAG
rnacentral:rRNA from 1 species